AUUUCCCAGGGAAGCUUUCCACUAUAUCUUCUGUCUGGUCUUUUAAUUUGCAUAGGCAGAUGCAGAUAAAUCACAUCUAUUUAUUGGACCCCAUUUGGCAAGAAAGAGCUUCAAGUGACUUUCUGGAGAAACCUCAAUGUUCUUGUGAAGAUUGGAAGUUGAGCAAAAUUUAUCAAACUUCCUAAGGUUGCAAAAUCUCACAGAAGUGUCUUGUAAAUCUCCAUUGCCAAGAAACUAGACCUCUACCUUCUCAAGUUCCUAUUCAUGGACCUAAAUUAUAAAAGGAUUUUGGCAGCUAUCCUUAUUCUUCCAGCAUCUUCCUGCGGAAUGCCAUACAGGGUCGGAGCUGUGGUCCAUCAUGUGCAAUAAUUACUGACAUACUGGAUCAGACCCAUAGUCCAUCUUCAGUAUCCUAACUCUCUGACAGUGGCCAAUACCAGCUGUUUCAAUGGAAGACCAGCACAGAAUCAGAAGAUCCAUGUAUAUUUAUUGACGUUAUAUCACAACCAGAUCAGUGCAUACACGUGACAUCACAUCCUA